CAUUCAAAAAAAUUAUUUCAAAAGAGAUUUCAUAUAAAGCCUUUAAAACACGGUCAGAAGUUUCUCCCUCUUCUCCAGAUCCCUGUGGCUGAACAUUUACAGAGAGAAAGAGAGAAAAAAUAGAGAGAGUUCAUAACAAUCUCUGUAGAAGAAACAAAACAAUCCAGGAAAGAAAAUAUCCAAGGAUACGGUAAGGGAUAAAAUUACAUUUGUACAAAAAUAGAUUUUAACUUUAUUGAUGCUUUAGAUAUUUUUUUCCUUAUCUUUUCUCUUUUUUUUUUUUUUUUUUUUUUUUUUUUUCUAAAUUUUAAUGUCUUUUUUUUUUUUUUUAAUCUAUGUAUCCCAUAGCCAAGGCAUCCAUCACUAAGUAUUGGGAAUUGCUAAAGCUAUUCUUUUACUCCAAACCACCUGCUUAAAAGAAUGAAAAAAACCCCAAAAUAAAAGAAGAAAAACAAAACAAAACACCCAAAACAAAACAAAAAGGCAUCUUAAAAUAGAUGCAGUUCCUUUGUCUCGAGGAAUAAAAAUCCAGAUUUGGCAUCUGCCAAUUUGGAAAGGGAUUCAGAUACAAUGGAAGCAAAACAAGGAAAAAAAAAAUGAAACAGAAAGCAAGGAGGAAAAACAAAAAACAAAAAACCAAACCAGGAAAAAGAAUCGACUUAAACCACAAAAAGCCAGGAAAAGCCUGUAAUUGCUACAGUUCUCUAUGUGUAUAUGUGAGUGGGUAUUAUACAGUGUCGAUAUCUACAGUACAUACACGGACACACGGACACCCCGAGUGAUGAUGGGCUGUCCCUGCACGGCUGGGGACAGCACAGCUCUCCAGCCUUUCUGUGGGAUCAGCUCCCAGCCAGCUUUGGGAUCAGCUCCCAGCCAGCUUUGGGAUCAGCAGCCCAAGCCAGGGUUUGGGAUCAGCAGCCCAAGCCAGGCUUUGGGAUCAGCCCCCAGCCAGGCUUUGGGAUCAGCAGCCCAAGUCUAGAUUUGGGAUCAGCAGCCCAAGCCAGGCUUUGGGAUCAGCAGCCCAAGUCUAGAUUUGGGAUCAGCAGCCCAAGCCUGAUUUUGGGAUCAGCCCCCAGCCACGGUUUGGGAUCAGCAGCCCAAGCCAGGGUUUGGGAUCAGCCCCCAGCCAGGCUUUGGGAUCAGCAGCCCAAGCCAGGCUUUGGGAUCAGCCCCCAGCCCAGGGCUGUCCCCGCUGCAGGGGAGGGGUCAGCAAGGCCAGGGGUCAGCUCUUCCCACACCCACCAGCCCCUAAAGCCCCCAGUGCCACUCCUGGACAAUUCCAGCAGCAAGGGGAGCUCGGCAUUCCCACGGAGGGGUUUGGGAUGUGCUGGACUGGGUUCAGGGUGGCUGGAACACGCAGCGAGGGGCAGCGGGGUGGCUGAAAGGCUGAUGCUUGUGCUAUCUUUAGAAAAUUAAAGAUUGUCCCACCAACAAAAAGGAAUUAAAAUAACCAUUACAAACAGAUCACCUGAAUCAAAGCAGAUUUUUGCAGGAGUACUGAGAGCUGGUUAAAUCCACAUCCUACCUCUCUAGGGAAUAAUGUGCCUUUUGUUUUCCUUCAGCCACGGCUCACCUCUCCACACUCAGCCUCAUCAUGAUGGGGACAACAACAACAACAACAAAAAGCCCAAAGUGGAAAGAACACAAAGACUCAAACUCAUGCAAAGCUCGUUGCUUUAAGGCUGCUCUGGCUGUUCCCAACACACAAAAGCUUCUCCUUCCCACAGGAAGGCUGGGAUGAGCAUGGAGGGGCUGGGCUGGGCUUUGGGGGCUCAGGGAAUCCCAACUCACUUCCACCAGCUGAGAAGUGAAAUCACAGGACAAGGCUCAGCUUUUCCCAAAAUCCCCUCCACCACAGGCAUGGAUUGAGGCUGUGCUGCUCCAGCAGGGAAACUGAGGCACAGGGAUGAUCCUGACAGGGAGUUUGGAGCCUGCAGAACCUUGGCCUUGUAAGGUGAGAUGCUAAAAGGGAUGGGAUGGGAU
rnacentral:lncRNA from 1 species